CCUGGUCCUUUAUUUCUUUCGUGUUUGAUACAAAUAAAAACUAUUCACAAACCAACAGACCUGCUACUCUGUCCACAAAAUGACUAUAAGCCUUCCUGUGAUGUUCUGAAAACAAAAUCAUUGAAAUAUGUGAAAAUGCAAAACAACAGAAACAUCGCAGCAAAAGCAAAUGCGCUGACCCACAUAACGGGAACAUGAUGUUCAAAGAUCUUGCGAAGUAACAACUACGCAUCGCUACGUGGAAUUGCAACUGAGUGUCUCUUUCAAUACACAUUUCAUUUUAUUCGUAAUGCAGUAUAUUUUGUUCCUGAUUUAUCUGCGAGGCGCGCUACGGACAACAUUCUUUCAUAGGAAAGCGAGGCAACACUGAAGACGACAUUCUAAAAAUGGAAACAGCUCAAGCCGCACAAUGGAGUAAUGACGUCGCUCCUGUAGCCGUCUUAUUAUUUUUUUUUGCUCUUGCCUUCUUCACUCGUGCCUCGGCAGUCAACAUCGGUCCUGACUAAAGUGAGGAGUCCCUGCGGUGUCCUUGAAGGCCGACCACGUCCUUGGGUCCGAGGCUUUAGAUGCGCUUGACGUUGUCAGGACGAACAACGUCUCCAAGGGUGUGCACAUGGUCACUAAUAUAGUCGAAGACUUCGGUGUUAUGGUCCGCAAUGGAUGAGCAACUGCCGCCAGAUGAACUCGACAGUCCGAUGCAUCGAGACUCGAGAGUCCAUGCGACUCCCUUUCGCUGCUCCUUUGCUUUGCCGAUAAGUUGUAGGUGCAGUGCUUGGCGGUAGAGGUGAGCCUGGCGAAGCCGCUCUUAGCGAAGAAUCUUCGAC
rnacentral:lncRNA from 1 species